AACACUUAGGAUAAUAGAUGUUGGGUAGAAGAGCUAGUCAGCCUGGAUAAGAUCACAAGAGGAAUGAUUCAGGAAGACAAGAGCCAGAAACACUUUAAGCGGUCAAGAGCAUCUCAACUGAAGAACACCUAAAUAACAUCAACAAGCGUGAGGGACAGGAAGUGAUUGUGCACUGUAUCGCAAUAUAUCAAGCCUCAUUGCUUCAGGUCGUUCUUCAUCAUCUACCAGCUCUCCCUCUCUGGAUAAGUCCCUAGGAAAGGCUCUAUAUCUACUUUAAUCUCAAAAUACAGUGACAAUGCAGACCACAAAUGAGCUGAUGUACAACACCACCACAGAAGAGUACGAGGUCCUCAACAUUUCUUUUGCGACAACUAGUUUGCCUGCAACAGGUGCCGCCGAGAUCAGCUGUUUUAUCGAUGCCCAGCUAGCGUUUAUAGCAACAGCAACUGCUGUGGGCAUCAUCCUGAUCCUUCUAACCGCCACCAUAAUGUUGGCAUGUACCGUCUCAAGCCUGAAACGUCAUCACCGGGCCCCUCGUCCAUCCCGAAGCAAUGCAGACCUGGUGAGUGGAACGGGCUACUGGGGUACCGAGAGAAGAGAGGGCGGCAUUGUGGGUCCAUGCGAAACCAGUGUUCUACUGGAGGAGGUAAAGACAGACGGCGAGGAGGAAGAGAUCCAUGAUGGCACGGCAGGGCCGAGCCAAUACAUCACCACUUCUAACGCAGCCGGUGAUUCAGAGAGCAUCCCGACAGCCAUGCAGAGCUCAACCUCCAGGGAUUCCUGCAUAGAUCCCAUAAGUUUGGAGAAUAUGCCUCUGAUGGUGUAAAGUAUAAGAGCUUUUUUUGUAUGCUGGGCUCUGAUGUCAGGCAUGUUACUUCUCUUUUUGCCUUUUUUUAAAAUGUCUUCAACAUCUACUGCAGUAAAAAAGUAAGCUAACAAAGGUGCCCAGUUACAAGCAGCCUUACAGGGUUUUUCAGAAUUGUUUAACUAACUACAAUUUCUGCUCAUCCUGUUAAAAGGAAAUUUCUUGUAAUAUCAGAUGAAUUUGAUGGGUCAAAUAGUCAGUAAAUAGAAAACUUUGACCUUUUCACAGAUGAGGUCAAUGCAGUUUUCUCAUCUCAAUCAGCUCUGGAGAUCUGUUUAGUGAGGAUGACAAGGACAAUAAGUAAAUGAAAUUUCUGUGUAUGAUUGUAUAGUUUGUGAAAUUGGUAUUUAACAAAAGCAUUGUCUCACAUUUUGGCAAUUUUUUAAUAUGGCAAGCAGCAGCACAUACCCAGAAAUCGAAGAGCACAUUCACUCGCUGUAGAUGGAAGCGAAAUAGAUGAACGCUAUCCUCUGUGCAUAAAUAGCACACCACAACUAAACCGGUGUUGUAAUUUCUACUGUAAUUUCCACUAGUCACCAAACUGCAUUGCCAUUAGCCGGUCAAACAGUGUAGAUGAAACAACCUAUGAAUGGCUUAUUUAUAUUUGACUCCAAAUAUUAAGCAGGGACAAAAGAAACCACACACUUCAGCUUUAAAAUGGGUAAAGCAAUACCACACAGCCUUAAAAAUCCUGUAACAAUGAGC